AGCGAACGCUGGCGGCAGGCUUAACACAUGCAAGUCGAGCGGGCACUUUCGGGUGUCAGCGGCGGACGGGUGAGUAACGCGUGGGAACGUGCCCUCUGGUUCGGAAUAACUCAGGGAAACUUGAGCUAAUACCGGAUACGCCCUUUUGGGGAAAGGCUUGCUGCCGGAGGAUCGGCCCGCGUCUGAUUAGCUAGUUGGUGAGGUAACGGCUCACCAAGGCGACGAUCAGUAGCUGGUCUGAGAGGAUGAUCAGCCACACUGGGACUGAGACACGGCCCAGACUCCUACGGGAGGCAGCAGUGGGGAAUAUUGGAAAAUGGGCGCAAGCCUGAUCCAGCCAUGCCGCGUGAGUGAUCAAGGCCUUAGGGUUGUAAAGCUCUUUUAUCCGGGACGAUAAUGACGGUACCGGAGGAAUAAGCCCCGGCUAACUUCGUG
rnacentral:rRNA from 1 species